AGAGUUUGAUCCUGGCUCAGAACGAACGCUGGCGGCGUGCCUAACACAUGCAAGUCGAACGAUAAAGUCCCUUCGGGGGCAAUUAAAGUGGCAGACGGGUGAGUAACGCGUAAGUAAUCUACCCCUCGGUCUGGAAUAACAUCUCGAAAGGGGUGCUAAUACCGGAUGACAUCUUCAAUAGAUAACUGUUGAAGAUCAAAGAUGGCCUCUGUAUAUGCUUUUGCCGGGGGAGGAGCUUGCGUCCCAUUAGCUAGUUGGUAGGGUAAAAGCCUACCAAGGCAAUGAUGGGUAGCCGGCCUGAGAGGGUGUCCGGUCACACUGGAACUUAGACACGGUCCAGACUCCUACGGGAGGCAGCAGUGGGGAAUAUUGCGCAAUGGGCGAAAGCCUGACGCAGCAACGCCGCGUGAGCGAUGAAGCUCCUUGGAGUGUAAAGCUCUGUUAGAUGGGAAGAAAGUAAUAAGGAUUAAUACCCCUUACUAUUGACGGUACCAUAAGAGGAAGCCCCGGCCAACUCCGUGCCAGCAGCCGCGGUAACACGGAGGGGGCGAGCGUUGUUCGGAAUUACUGGGCGUAAAGGGCGCGUAGGCGGUCAAGUAAGUCGUGAGUGAAAGCCCCGGGCUCAACCCGAGAAUUGCUCACGAAACUUCUUGACUUGAGUGCAGAAGAGGGAAGUGGAAUUCCCAGUGUAGCGGUGAAAUGCGUAGAUAUUGGGAGGAACACCUGUGGCGAAGGCGACUUCCUAGGCUGCUACUGACGCUCAGGCGCGAAAGCUAGGGGAGCAAACGGGAUUAGAUACCCCGGUAGUCCUAGCCGUAAACGAUGGGCACUAGGUGUAGGGGGGAUUAUCUCCCUGUGCCGAAGCUAACGCAUUAAGUGCCCCGCCUGGGGAGUACGUCCGCAAGGAUGAAACUCAAAGGAAUUGACGGGGGCCCGCACAAGCGGUGGAGCAUGUGGUUUAAUUCGACGCAACGCGAAGAACCUUACCGGGGUUUGACAUUCCUCUGAUAGGUCUCGAAAGAGGCAUUCCUCUUCGGAGGCAGAGGAACAGGUGCUGCAUGGCUGUCGUCAGCUCGUGUCGUGAGAUGUUGGGUUAAGUCCCGCAACGAGCGCAACCCUCGCCCUUAGUUGCCAGCGAUUUGGUCGGGAACUCUAAGGGUACUGCCGGUGACAAACCGGAGGAAGGUGGGGAUGAUGUCAAGUCCUCAUGGCCCUUAAGCCCCGGGCUACACACGUGCUACAAUGGCCGGUACAAAGAGUUGCAAAACCGCGAGGUGGAGCUAAUCUCAAAAAGCCGGUCUCAGUUCGGAUUGAAGUCUGAAACCCGACUUCAUGAAGGCGGAAUCGCUAGUAACCGUGGAUCAGCACGCCACGGUGAAUACGUUCCCGGGCCUUGUACACACCGCCCGUCACACCACGAAAGUUGGUUGUACUAGAAGUCGUUGAGCUAACUUUUCGGAGAGGCAAGCGCCCAAGGUAUGACCAGCGAUUGGGGUGAAGUCGAAACAAGGUA
rnacentral:rRNA from 1 species